GAGAGCGUCUAGGCGAACAAUGUUCUUAAAGUUUGACCUCAAAUCAGGUAGGAGUACCCGCUGAACUUAAGCAUAUCAAUAAGCGGAGGAAAAGAAACCAACCGGGAUUGCCUUAGUAACGGCGAGUGAAGCGGCAAAAGCUCAAAUUUGAAAUCUGGUACCUUCGGUGCCCGAGUUGUAAUUUGGAGAGGGCAACUUUGGGGCCGUUCCUUGUCUAUGUUCCUUGGAACAGGACGUCAUAGAGGGUGAGAAUCCCGUGUGGCGAGGAGUGCGGUUCUAUGUAAAGUGCCUUCGAAGAGUCGAGUUGUUUGGGAAUGCAGCUCUAAGUGGGUGGUAAAUUCCAUCUAAAGCUAAAUAUUGGCGAGAGACCGAUAGCGAACAAGUACAGUGAUGGAAAGAUGAAAAGAACUUUGAAAAGAGAGUGAAAAAGUACGUGAAAUUGUUGAAAGGGAAGGGCAUUUGAUCAGACAUGGUGUUUUGUGCCCUCUGCUCCUUGUGGGUAGGGGAAUCUCGCAUUUCACUGGGCCAGCAUCAGUUUUGGUGGCAGGAUAAAUCCGUAGGAAUGUAACUUGCUUCGGGAAGUAUUAUAGCCUGCGGGAAUACUGCCA
rnacentral:rRNA from 1 species